rnacentral:rRNA from 1 species
UACGUAGGGUGCAAGCGUUGUCCGGAAUUAUUGGGCGUAAAGAGCUCGUAGGCGGCUUGUCACGUCGACGUGUCGAAAACCCGGGGCUCAACUCCGGGCCUGCAGUCGAUACGGGCUGGCUUGAGUGCGGUAGGGGAGACUGGAAUUCCUGGUGUAGCGGUGAAAUGCGCAGAUAUCAGGAGGAACACCGGUGGCGAAGGCGGGUCUCUGGGCCGUAACUGACGCUGAGGAGCGAAAGCGUGGGGAUCAAACAGG